rnacentral:rRNA from 1 species
UACGAAGGGGGCUAGCGUUGCUCGGAAUUACUGGGCGUAAAGCGCACGUAGGCGGUCUUUUAAGUCGGUGGUGAAAUCCUGGAGCUCAACUCCAGAACUGCCUUCGAUACUGGAAGACUUGAGUCCGGGAGAGGUGAGUGGAACUGCGAGUGUAGAGCUGAAAUUCGUAGAUAUUCGCAAGAACACCAGUGGCGAAGGCGGCUCACUGGCCCGAUACUGACGCUGAGGCACGAAAGCGUGGGGAGCAAACAGG